ensembl:lncRNA
UUUUAAAUGACAUUAAAGGUGCAUAUACUUAAUAGUAUUAAAUUUUUUUUUUUUCAAAUCAGAGGAAAGCUAUGAUAAAAUGGCGCCAGAAUUCAAGAAUGAAAGGGAAAAGACCACAUUAUUUUAAAUUAACCUGGCCAAGGGGAAGCACUUUCACAUUGUUGACCAGUAAAGAGUUUUUGGUAAGUAAUAACAUUUAAAUUGUGGGAAUAAUUUUACAAAGACAUAAUUUUUUGUAUCAUCUAUGACCUGUGUUACAAACAGAUAGCAGAUAGAUGAAGUUGAUGAAUGAAAUUCCAAGAAUAUAUUAUGAAAUGAAAAUUUUAAAAGUAGAUGCUUUAAAGUUAAAAAUGUGGCUCAUAUAUUAAAGUUGGGGAAAAACACAUGGAAAUAUUUAGCUGUACUUGUUUCUCAUGGAGACUAUGGUGCAUAUACAGUCAAUUUACUUACACUAAAAAUACUUUUACCACUGAUAACUCAGGGAGAAGGCUGCCAUUUUUGUAGAUAAAAUCUAUCUCUUAGUGGAAUUGGGAAAUAAGUGUCUCUUACCCACUUGAGCUCAUGUGCACUUCCUCCAAUGUGAUUUAAAUGGUCUGAAAGUUACAGAGGUAGAUUUGUAGAGAAGCUAAUAACACUGAAGUAGCAUGUCCCAUCAUUUGUAUGCACUCUAUCCCUGGAAGGAUUCCUAACGUGCUCAUACAUAUUAUUUUAAUUUAUGGGGAAA